UACGAAGGGGGGCUAGCGUUGUUCGGAAUUACUGGGCGUAAAGCGCACGUAGGCGGACAUUUUAAGUUGGAGGUGAAAGCCUUGGGCUCAACCCAAGAAUUUGCCUUUGAUUACUGGAUGUCUCGAGACCGGGAGAGGUGAGUGGAAUUCCGAGUGUAGAGGUGAAAAUUCGUAGAUAUUCGGAAGAACACCAGUGGCGAAGGCG
rnacentral:rRNA from 1 species